rnacentral:tRNA from 1 species
UCCCUGGUGGCUCAGAUGGUAAAGCAUCUGCCUACAAUGCAGGAGAUCCAGGUUCAAUCCUUGGGUCGGGAA